GAUGAACGCUGGCGGCGUGCCUAAUACAUGCAAGUCGAGCGAACGGACGAGAAGCUUGCUUCUCUGAUGUUAGCGGCGGACGGGUGAGUAACACGUGGAUAACCUACCUAUAAGACUGGGAUAACUUCGGGAAACCGGAGCUAAUACCGGAUAAUAUUUUGAACCGCAUGGUUCAAAAGUGAAAGACGGUCUUGCUGUCACUUAUAGAUGGAUCCGCGCUGCAUUAGCUAGUUGGUAAGGUAACGGCCUACCAAGGCAACGAUGCAUAGCCGACCUGAGAGGGUGAUCGGCCACACUGGAACUGAGACACGGUCCAGACUCCUACGGGAGGCAGCAGUAGGGAAUCUUCCGCAAUGGGCGAAAGCCUGACGGAGCAACGCCGCGUGAGUGAUGAAGGUCUUCGGAUCGUAAAACUCUGUUAUUAGGGAAGAACAUAUGUGUAAGUAACUGUGCACAUCUUGAUGGUACCUAAUCAGAAAGCCACGGCUAACUACGUG
rnacentral:rRNA from 1 species